rnacentral:tRNA from 1 species
UGGUUGCUCAGUGGUUAGAGCGUCGGCCCUCGGACCGAAGAGUCCAGGUUUGAUUCCUGGUCA